CCCAAAUGUUAAAAUAUAAAUGUGGGUAUCCAUUUUAUUAUCCAAAUAUAAACCGGUAACCAUAAUAAUAAUGUCAUUUAGUUAUUGGAUACCUAAAUUCUAUUAUGUCUUAAUUUAUAUGUUUAUUUUUUUUUGUUUUUUUAUCAUAUAGACAUAUACACAUUAUAAACAAAUUUUAUAUUUUAUUAAUUUUUUUAAAC
rnacentral:lncRNA from 1 species